rnacentral:tRNA from 1 species
GUGGUGGCUCAGUGGUAGAGCGCUUGCCUAGCAUGUGUGAGGCCCUGGGUUCAAUCCGCAGCGCCACA